rnacentral:rRNA from 1 species
CCUACGGGUGGCAGCAGUGGGGGAUAUUGCACAAUGGGGGAAACCCUGAUGCAGCGACGCCGCGUGGGUGAAGAAGCGCCUCGGCGCGUAAAGCCCUGUCAGCAGGGAAGAAAAUGACUGUACCUGAAGAAGAAGACACGGCUAACUACGUGCCAGCAGCCGCGGUAAUACGUAGGGGGCAAGCGUUAGCCGGAUUUACUGGGGGGAAAGGGGGCGCAGACGGCGAUGCAAGACAGGGGGGAAAGCCCGGGGCCCAACCCCGGGACUGCUCUUGGAACUGGGUGGCUAGAGUGCAGGAGGGGCAGGCGGAAUUCCUGGUGUAGCGGUGAAAUGCGUAGAUAUCAGGAGGAACACCGGUGGCGAAGGCGGCCUGCUGGACUGCAACUGACGUUGAGGCCCGAAAGCGUGGGGAGCAAACAGGAUUAGAUACCCUAGUAGUC